rnacentral:lncRNA from 1 species
GUGACCACAGGUUAUCAAGCAGGUCUGUUCCCAUCUAGGGGGCCUUGUCCUGCCAUCUGCAAAAGGACAGGGUGGGAUGGAGGACCUUCCAAGUUCCCCUCGACCCCACAGGCCUGUGUCUUGGGGCAAUCUUAGGGCUGCAAAGCAGCAGAAAAGACUCUGUCAAGAGGGAGUGAGGAAAAUAUGGUUUUGGGUUUUAACUUAACCCUAUAGUGGGGCCCACUGCUAGGAUUUGGGGUAAAGUACUCAUCCUAAAGGAAGGAGAGGACAUUUACAGGAUCUCUGUGCAUGGCUGUGCAGGUUGAGCAGUGAACAACUCUACUAGGCACUGAAGGCAGUGAGGGCUCAGGAAAGCAUGGCAAGCCUCACCCAGGAAUAAAGAGCAAGUUGCCAGGGAGAGGGGAUGCUUUGAGGACUAUGUAGUGUCUACGGCCCACCUCGUACAGCUGCACAGGCUGUGUACCGCACAAGUCCGGUGUGCACCUUUAGACUAAAGUGGAGCCGUAUGUGGGUAUCUAAGACCCAUCUCUGAGUGUCCCUCUUUCACUUAGAUGUUAAGGCCUUUGGGCACUUGCUGACCUUAGAGUGUUCCUCUAGCUGAGGUUGAGACAGAAAAAGGACAAUUUCCUUGCUUUGCUAACAGGAUGCCAAGCACUGUCUGGGAGCAGGAGUUUGUGGUGCUCAGUGGACCUGGAAGUGCAGAAGUGUCAUCUUGGUGGAGGUAGCACCAGUGACAGAAGAUGGUUAGCCCUUGGGGACAGCCACAAACACUGGGAGGCACUUUUCACAGAUUAGGGUUCUUCACUCAGGGUCCCCGCGAGUGGCUAUAAAAUCCAGUGUCACACUCCCUUGGAAGUGAGCCUUGGAGCUGCCCCGUAGUCCAGCUGCCUCCUCUCCCUCCCGUGGCCCUGGCUGGAAUGUCUGCUCCGUGUGCAGAUCUUCCCGCCCCCAACCUCGCCCUGCUCCUUCCAGGGUUCCUCAGCCACUGGCCUCCUCCUCUGUUCCUUUCACAAAGGAAGUCAUCAGCCCAGAGAGGGUGACAGCAGCUUCUGUUUCCGGAUGUCACAGUUAGCUGCAGAGCCUCUUUGUCACACCACACCCCAGAGGCUCAGGGCAAGGGGCAUCUGGGUGUGGUGACCAUGGCUGGGACACAGGGGUUCCUGGGGGCAGGGCACCCACUUCCUCCUCCUUCCUCUCGAGGCCGAGGUGUAGUCUGUAUUCUGACGGAGGAACAAGUUUGGGAAGACUGGACAACUCGCCACAGCCACCCCUGCUCAUAAGGGGCCAAGUUGGGCUUGGCUAAGCCCUUCCCAGGGCACCAGGCGGCUGCCCAGCAGGGUGUCUGUGAGUGGGAUUUGAGAUGUCCGAGGGGCAGCAAGCAGUGCCGACUGAACGAGAACUCACUCCGGGGCUCUGCCCCUGACAGCUGUGUCACCUUGGGCAAGUUACUGCACUUCUCUGAGCCUCAGUUUUCUCCUCUGUCAGCGAGAGUCAGCAACAUCUGUUGACCUCAUGAGGUUUCUGUGCAGCUUAAACAAGUCCAGUGGAGAUUGUUUACUUCUGUUCCAGCUCAAGUCAUUAUCAUCCUCCCAAGUGCCCCACGGAAAGCAAGUGCCGACAUUUUUCUCAUCUCGGGGUCUUCUGAGUUUCCACAAGUCACCAGACUAAGGACAACCAGGAUGGGACACAGGAGGGACCCCUGGAGGGAAUGGGGUAUAGAGAACUUAGAUUGUCCUGGUUGUGACUCAACAAGCUUCCUCUAGUGCUCACCAGAGGCUAUGCUAACAGCAAGACCAGGGCAGAGGGAGGCAUCCAUCAAGGGCAGCACAGGGCACCACCGGGCAGGACCCAGCUCUUUAAGAGGCCAUGACUUCCUGCUGAUCCAGGCAGGUGGACAGAUGAUGGACAGGCCGAGGAGGAGGAGGAGGAGG